CAGCCGCCACGGGAAUACGUAGGGCGCAAGCGUUAUCCGGAAUUAUUGGGCGUAAAGAGCUCGUAGGCGGUUUGUCGCGUCUGCCGUGAAAGUCCGGGGCUCAACCCCGGAUCUGCGGUGGGUACGGGCAGACUAGAGUGAUGUAGGGGAGACUGGAAUUCCUGGUGUAGCGGUGAAAUGCGCAGAUAUCAGGAGGAACACCGAUGGCGAAGGCAGGUCUCUGGGCAUUAACUGACGCUGAGGAGCGAAAGCAUGGGGAGCGAACAGGAUUAGAUACCCCGGUAGUCCCUGUCUCUUAUAC
rnacentral:rRNA from 1 species